GGCACCACAGCGCUGGGGCAGUGCUUCUCGAUGUAGUCCUGGAAUCCCUGCACUCCCAUGGAAGAAAACUAGUCCAGAACGCGUGCCACCAGGAGCCUGGCUGUCAGCAUCCUUGGAAUCAGGGAGGCGCAGCAGAACUGAGCACUGCUGGCUUGUGACCAGCCACAAACACACCCCUCCCUCCCCAAAGAGAAGAGAGAGAGGAAAAGCAUAAGGGGAAACAAGACUGAUGCAUCUUGCUGUGGAGCUUUUGCCCCAGACCUUUCCCAUUCUUGCUGCUGCAGAAGAGCUCCCAGCCUUCACCUCACUACUAGGUCUGCAAGUGGCCAUGGGCUCACCCAGUGGGCAAGUGCUUUUCUGCAUUGCUACUUCAGGGUUCAUAGUUCUAGGCAUGCCUGUCACUUAGUCAAAAAAAGUUGCAAAAAUAAAAGAAAUCGAAGAAAAAUUGUUAAGGUUUAAAAAAGUAUUUGGGAUAAAAUUUGUCACUUGUUGCAGUCUUGCUCUGAUUUUCUAUCAUUGUAUUUGCUACCAUGUGCAACAUCCUUUUCUUGUCUCUUGGCUGCAAUUAAACUCUACACUACCACACAACAUUUAUAGAAGGAGGUUUUCGAUUUUCAGGUGUCUCCAUAAAAUACCAACAAACACCAUCUUGCUUAAGCAUACAAUAACUUUUUUCAAUUAUCCAUGAUACUAUAGAUAGAGCGUUUUCCUCUUAGGACAAAGAUGUGCAAGUAGAAGGCACCUCACUGAGUUAUUUAAAACACUUAUGGGUCUCUCAAUCAGCAUCAGCUCUCUAGGCACCACCAAUCCAAAGAAAAGAUUAUUCAAAAGGUAGCAUACUUUACUAGAGCCACUGCUAUGCUCAAACUCAAAAUUUCUGAUUGUCCCUAGAGGCCAACCCUUGAGGAGUUUGGCCCUGGGCAUAUGCGGGGUAAAUGAUGGUGUUGCUCCAGCAAACUUUUUGGGCAAGAAAAUGACUGUCAGUGAGUCCUCCGAGCACCUGGGAGAAGCAUGCUGGAGGAGGAGGAGGCAAUGACGCUGCCUGAAAGAAUUCCUCCUUUCAGAGAACAAGCAUCGCUUUCACAGUAGUGGAUGCUCAGCCACAGCACAAACUACACAGAUUACAUCUGGGCAAUUUGCUGCCUUUGAUACGUUUUAAGAAACAAAAGGAUGAAAAUUUUAAGUUCUAAACUUGAAUUUUAAAGAGAAAAAGCAUAAAUAAUAAGGCCAUUAUGGAGCAGGCACCAGGAGCUGGUGGGGAGCAGUAGCAUUGCUUCUUCAAAAACCUGGAACAGAAGUGUGCUAUUCCUGUGGCAGUUGUGUGAGACGUAUAAAAAGCCAGUAUUUAAAGCGUAUUCUACUGCAGUUUUCACAGGAGCAUCAAUAAUAUUAUGAAAAGAUACUAAUAGAAUGCUACAACUUGAUAUUAUAACAGAUAAAAUGCACUUAUCAGUGAUAAUGCAGGACCAUAUCUGAGCGAAAAUACAUCUACUGUGGCUAUUUCAGAAGAGCAGCUACUUACACUUCCAGCACUUUAAAAACAUGUGAUUUUUGCUAGCAUUUAUGCAAUUAACACAAGUAUCUCAGGCAUGGAAGUAACAUAUUUAUCUGCCUAAAUGUGGGGUAGGACUUCCAGGUUUGGGAGCACCAUCCAAGCCCCACCUUCACUUUCAGUCUGCUACAGCAACCGAAUUCUUUGUCU